AUAACCAACAUUAAUUAUCCCUAGGGCCAUGGGAUAAACAAAAACUCUGCAAAACCAAGUUAGCACACCCUAGAAUGGUUCUAGCACAAUUACUAACCUAUGGCUCUGAUACCAAUUGAUGGGAAAAACCU